GUAGGUGAACCUGCGGAAGGAUCAUUAUAGUGCAACCGAGGCGCCUGGGCUGUCGCUGACCUUUGGUCGUGCACGCCCAGAGUGCUCUCUCACAUCCAUCUCACCCCUUUGUGCAUCAUCGCGUGGGGCCCUCUCUUUUGGCUUGUUCCGGAAGGGGGGGGUUCACGUUUUUACACGAACAACCCAUUAAUGCAUGUGUAGAAUGUCUUAUUUUUGCGGUCACACGCAAUCAAUACAACUUUCAACAACGGAUCUCUUGGCUCUC
rnacentral:misc_RNA from 1 species